CCUACGGGAGGCUGCAGUGAGGAAUAUUGGUCAAUGGGCGAGAGCCUGAACCAGCCAAGUCGCGUGCAGGAUGACUGCCUUAUGGGUUGUAAACUGCUUUUAUAAAGGAAUAACAACUCUCACGUGUGAGAGGAUGAAUGUACUUUAGGAAUAAGGAUCGGCUAACUCCGUGCCAGCAGCCGCGGUAAUACGGAGGAUCCAAGCGUUAUCCGGAUUUAUUGGGUUUAAAGGGUGCGUAGGCGGUUGAUUAAGUCAGCGGUGAAAGUUUGCAGCUCAACUGUAAAAUUGCCGUUGAAACUGGUCGACUUGAGUACGGUAGAGGUAUGCGGAAUGCGUUGUGUAGCGGUGAAAUGCUUAGAUAUAACGCAGAACCCCAAUUGCGAAGGCAGCAUACUGGACCGGUAACUGACGCUGAGGCACGAAAGCGUGGGGAUCAAACAGGAUUAGAUACCCUAGUAGUC
rnacentral:rRNA from 1 species